rnacentral:misc_RNA from 1 species
UACAGAGACCUCAGGCGUUAUCCGGAAUCAUUGGGCGUAAAGCGUACCGAUAGGUGGUUUUAUAAGUUUUGCCUAAAAUACCGAAGCUCAACUUCGGCCUUGGGUAAAAUACUGUAAAACUAGAGGGGCAGAGAGGUGCUUGGAACGAAUGGUGUAGUAGUGAAAUGCGUUGAUAUCAUUCGGAACACCGAAAGCGAAGGCAGAGCACUGGGUGCCGCCUGACACUGCUAGGACGAAAGCGUGGGGAGCGAAUGGG